UUGGCGACGGGGUGAGUAACGCGUGGAUAACCUGCCGUAUACCGGGGGAUAACACUUAGAAAUAGGUGCUAAUACCGCAUAAGCGCACGGCUCCGCAUGGGGCAGUGUGAAAAAUUCCGGUGGUAUACGAUGGAUCCGCGUCUGAUUAGCUAGUUGGCGGGGUAACGGCCCACCAAGGCAGCGAUCAGUAGCCAGCCUGAGAGGGUGGACGACCACAUUGGGACUGAGACACGGCCCAAACUCCUACGGAAGGCAGCAG
rnacentral:rRNA from 1 species